AUGACUGCUACACAGCCGGACAUGGAAUUGCAGAAGGAUCAGAGGCAUCCUCUUUUGUCCAACAGAACUGAUGGCACUGACAACAUGAGCCCCGUGCAGAAAGCAAUCAGACAGGCAUACCAGAGCACCGGGCACCUCGCCAAACUCCUUCCAUCAGGCACCGUGCUUGCCUUCCAGCUGCUGGCUCCAACCAUGGCUAAACAAGGCCACUGUGGUGACUUGGAUCGGAUGAUGAUGGGAGGGCUUGUGGUGCUCUGUGCACUCUCGUGCUUUGUUGUUACCUUCACAGAUAGCUUCAGGGAUGAGAACGGAAAGGUACAAUACGGGUUUGCCACGUUCAAGGGAUUGUGGGUCAUUGAUGGUGGAGUUACUCUUGAUCCACACGCUGCGGUUGAAUAUAAGAUGACAUUUCUAGACUUUUUCCAUGCAGCUGUCUCAGCAGUGAUUUUUGUUGCAAUCGCCCUAUUUGACCAGAAUGUGGCAUCUUGCUUUUAUCCAAUACCAUCAGAGGACACAAAGCAAGUUCUCACAACAUUGCCAGUUGCUAUUGGAGUUAUUGGAAGCAUGCUGUUUGUUAGCUUCCCAACCACCCGCCAUGGCUUUGGCUUCCCAGUCUCUCCACAGUACCUGGGUCUUCAAAAGAUUUGUUUGCUCUAA
rnacentral:rRNA from 1 species